rnacentral:snRNA from 1 species
UUCCGCAACGUUAAUUUCAAAACGUACUAAUCUUUCGCCUUUUACUAAAGAUUACCGUGGAGUUGACUCAAAAAUAUGCGGCUUCAACGAAUUUAUGGACCCCUCGCGGGGGG